UCAGACGAGAGCUCCUAGCUCCUGCUUCAGCACCAUGCUUGCCUGUCUGGUGCCAUGCUCCCUGCCAUGAUGGUCAUGAACUUACCACUGGAAUGGAUGGCUAAUGUCCUAGCUGGGGAGUGUCUCUCAAGAAGGCUGUUAGUUGGGGGAAGUGACCACGCAUCAUCCACUAAGCCUAAAUCAUGCUGCAGGAACGAUGCGGCUGUGGACAUCACACUAUGUACAGGCUCUUUGGAGUUCUCAGACUCUAUAGCAGAGGACCUCAGGUAUAUGGCUCUGUAUCUACCUGUUGGCUUCAGGCUCCGCGGCAUCAAACUCUAGAGUUACUCUCAAUUGGUGAGGUUACUCUCCAGGGACCCAGGAUCUCGGUCUGCCUCUCCUUGUGUGCUUCACUGCCUGGGCUAAGCAUCUACUCUCUGAAGUUUUAGCUUUAUAGGUGCCUGGUUCCCCAGUUUUCCACAACUGUUCCCCAGCCCUCCUGAGCCCAUGACAGGUGGAGUCCAGACUUCCUGACUAGUGAGUGUA
rnacentral:lncRNA from 1 species